rnacentral:rRNA from 1 species
CAGCCGCCACGGUGAUACGAAGGGGGCUAGCGUUGUUCGGAUUUACUGGGCGUAAAGCGCACGUAGGCGGAUCUUUAAGUCAGAGGUGAAAUCCCAAGGCUCAACCUUGGAACUGCCUUUGAUACUGGAGAUCUUGAGUCCGGGAGAGGUGAGUGGAACUGCGAGUGUAGAGGUGAAAUUCGUAGAUAUUCGCAAGAACACCAGUGGCGAAGGCGGCUCACUGGCCCGGUACUGACGCUGAGGUGCGAAAGCGUGGGGAGCAAACAGGAUUAGAUACCCGAGUAGCCUGUCUCUUAUACAC